rnacentral:misc_RNA from 1 species
CAAAGGAUCAUUUGUGUGAUAUUUUUUCGAAAUAUUGAAUAUUUGAGUGUUUUAAAAUUGUGUUUAUAAAUUAUGGAAAUAUAAUAAAAUAAUAUCACACGUAUGGUGCUGAAAUAUUGUACAGAUUGUAAAUUGAAAUAUAACCUAAAAGACAGGACGCACUAUAAUUUUGAUUGUGAAAAAAUUUAUUAGAUAGUAUUAGGACACGUGCGCAUGUAAGCUAAUAUAUGAGUAGAUAUACUGAAGAGAUAACAGAAAUUGUCUGUUAAAGUAACUGUAUAACAAACUUCAAAAUAAAGCCAUGAUAUGCGAUGAUGGGCACGUUUGCAGUCUUACUGAUAUUAUUAUGCCUGAUUCCUGGGUUACCGGCAGCAGCGCACACCAAGCUUUGUCGGAACUGCCACCAUCUUGUCACAGGUCCUACAGAAUGUAUGGAGCUCCACCACUGUCAUGACUCAUGUAUAACAGAAGUGUACAUUGUUCAUGGAGAGCACAAAUUCAGAUACGGUUGCGUGCAUCCAGACAAAUGUGACAAACAUCAUAACCAACACACACACGAGUACGGCCAGAAUGUAUGUAGUCAAUGUUGUGAUAACGCGCACUGUCAAAGGGAUGCGUGCUCUCAGAAUUUAACAACGACCCUUGCUCUGACGACGAUGACACAGCACACACGACAACAAUGGCUGUAGCUCCUGCUGUAACAUCACAUCAAAGAGUAAUGGUCAAUGUAACACAGACGCAUACGACUCUUCAACCUUGCGUGGAUUUAGAUGACGUCAGCUUUACCUGUGCAGACAUGACGUUUUUUCGGAUAUUGUAACCCUAACGCCGGGGCUGGCUACGCGCUUGCUCAAAAAAGAUGUCGUAAAACAUGUGGUUUUUGUACAUAGAAAGCAACGAUGGCGCCAAGCGAAACCAGAAACUCGAACUCGAUAUGACUGUUAAAACUAUAUGCUAAAUCUGCUAAUAUACUUUUAAAUAUUGAAA